GUUUUAAUCUAAGCCGUCCCUUUCUUAUUUGCCCUAGAUAUAUAAAGCUAGAGGAGCAGCCGCCUCUAUAUAUUUUUCAAUAUACUCACUCUCUCUCUAUAUCUCUCUACCCUAUCUCUAGCCUUUUUGCCCUCUCUCGUGCAACAUCUUCCGGCGGUUCUUCGGCGGCGUUGCCUUCUUCCUUUUGUGUGAAGUUUCUUGGCAUGGUUUGAUUCUCCUGUUUGUUUAUUAGAGCCGCAAGGGGCUCUUUCAACCCGGUAAGUAAUCCAAAUUUAUAGGCAAUGAUGACCCUUAACACUCGGACCAAAAUUAGGUGGAGGAUUUGUUGGAUUUUAGUCCAAAUUAGAUCCACCCUAUUAAACACAAUAAUACACCCAUUAAGCAGCCCAUAAAUACCUACCCAGCCCACGACCCGCGCCUCGGAGCCGCCUAUAGUAUGACCCGUGUCUUUUAUAAGAGAUCUGUUCCUGGCCGUCCGAUGGAGGGUUUUAAUCUAAGCCGUCCCUUUCUUAUUUGCCCUAGAUAUAUAAAGCUAGAGGAGUAGCCACCUCCAUAUAUUUUUCAAUAUACUCACUCUCUCUCUAUAUCUCUCUACCCUAUCUCUAGUCUCUCUGGCCUCUCUCGCGCAACAUCUUCCGGUGACUUUUUCCGGCAGUUCCUCGGCGGCAUUGCUUUCCUCUUUUCUGUGAAGUUCCUUGGCAUGGUUUGAUUCUCCUGUUUGUUUAUUAGAGCCGCAAGGGGCUCUUUCAACUCGGUAGGCAUCUGUUUUGUCGUGUGGUGCCUUGUCUUUAAGCUGUAGGGUUCUUUUUCGUCGAGUCGUGGGUUCCUGGGGUCGGUUUUGUGUGUUCGUCGCAUUUUGGGUGUAUAUUGUGUUGAUUUUCUGUCGAACAAGUGGUUUUGGGGACUGAGCCUAAAACAAAAACUAGUUCAAAGUUUUUACCCUAUUUUUGUUAAUAAAAUCAAAUUUUGGUCCUUUAUAUUUCAUCACAAUAUGUUUAGCAGAGAGUAGUUCUUUUUAUGGAACAAAUCAACAUUUUUUUUUUCAAAAGAUUAAUAUAUUAUAAAAUUUAUUAUUUUGAUAUCCCUUUCAAACUAUUUCACAAAACAAAUACACUCGUUUCUUAUUUUUUUUUAAAUAAUUUAUACCCUCUCCGUCCAUUCAAAAUCUUUUUAUUUUUCUAUAUUAGUCUAUCCACUCAAAUCUUCUUAUGUUUUUUUUAAAAGUAAAUUUACAUCUCAUAUAAAUACAAAAUUACUUUUAUUUUAUCACAAUAUCAUUAUUUUUAAACUAAAAAAUAAGAGUAAAGUUAUCUUUACAUAUCUAAUUUAUACUACACUUUUAUAAAAGAUUAAAAUACUAAAAUCUUAGUACAAAAAAUAAAUGAGAAGUCAAUGAAUAGACUGAGGAAAUACAAAAUAUUUCCUUUCUUUUAUAUCAAAAUUAUUAUGGGUGUGUUACACAUAGUAUAAAAUUACGGUUUUUUGUUUUGAUUUUUAAUAGUAAAAUUUUGAGUUAAAAUUGUUGAUGUAUUUUUUCAACAAAUAAAAAGUAAAAUUCAAAGAUAUGGAAAUAUCCUUAAACUUGAUUAAUUAGUGCCUGAGAUUAGGAAUCUCUAAACACUGUACGGUACAUAAGAAAAUUAACUGGAAAUAAAAAUGCUGAAAAUUUAAAGUGGUGAUCCCCGAAUCUGACUUUGCUUUGUUGAAGUUGAUUGAAGAUUCCUUCUCCAGAAAAAUCAAAAUCCUUAAAUAUUUCUUGAAGAAAACGCUUGGAACCGUCGCCUGGCCGGUUACAGCAACCGCCCAAAAGAAACGUUUUGAAACGUUGCCUGGUCAAUUACAGCGACCGUCUCGUCAACUGCAUAACCCAACCGACCAAUCCAGCGACUAACUGGUCGCUGGACCAAAAGAUUCCUUGGCCGCCCCUACCAAGCUACCAAACUACUGUUCACUUAAGUGGGCAAUCAAUUACCAGACCUUACUUCGCCCGACCUUCGUAGCAGCCGACUUGCAGACUUUCCGACCUAUGGACCAUCCGACCCGCUAACCAACCGACCUGACUAUCCGACCGCAGACCUUCCGACCUAUGGACCAUCCGACCCGCUAACCAACCGACCUGACUAUCCGACCGCAGACCUUCCGACCUGUGGACCAUCCGAUCCGCUAACCAACCGACCUGACUAUCCGACCGCAGACCUUUCGACCUGCCUAUCCGACAGCAGACCUUCUGACCUGCCUAUCCGACCGAGGCCCUACCGACCUGCCUAUCCGACCGCAGACCUUCCGACCUGCCGAUCCGGCCGAAGACCAACCGACCAGACCAACCGACCGAGGACCAACCGACCUGACCAACCGACCUGAGCGCAAAUUUUUCUUCUUUUCCACCUGACUUCGUGUCUAACUUCCUUUAAGAUCAUGCUAUCCUUAUUUUUAUUAUUAUUAUUUUUUGUGCGUAACAAUAAGCAUCCUUCUCAAGACUCCUAAGCGUCACUUUCAGUGAUGUUUUAGGAGUUUGCAGGCCGUCAUCCGAGGCCACAUCAGCCUCAGAUCUGACCUCCUUCUCUCGAGGCUACGUUGGUCCCGACCUCCAUUCAUCGUAGACUGGCGGUGGCCUGCACGUUGGUCGACCUUGCACUACCAUGUCUUCAACACCUCCCCCCUGACCGAAGCCGCGAUCAUUCUAUUUAAAAAAUGAUUCUAACCUUCCUGCCUUGGAUGCUAAACUAGCCAGAUCUCGAACAUCGUGGGCUGUCAAAGCCUCCCGAAGAUUGGUGUGCAUUUUCCUGACCACCAAAGUGGUCAUGUCGCUUUUUUCAAUGAUUGUCGGGCAACGUCCCUUCAUUAAUCGCAUCCGUUAUAUAAACUGGGAGGCGGUCUCCUCCGGCAUCUGCUCGAUCUCACAAAGGUCUGUGAAUGAGACUGUUGGAAGAGGAAUAAAGAACCUUGCAUGAAAGGCCGCUUCCAAACCUUCCCAGGUUUGUAUUUUUCCAGGUGGUAGAUCGACAAACCACGAAAAAGCUGUUCUGGUAAGAGACAAUCCAAACAGUUGUAAUUUGUAAAAAAGGUUGUUACCGAUCUCUCCUAACUGUGCUGUGAACCGACCAACAUGCUCUAUAGUGGAGGAUUUUAGUCUAAAUUAGAUCCACCUCAUUAAACACAAUAAUACACUCAUUAAGCAGCUCAUAAAUACCUACUCAGCCCACGGCCCACGACCCGCGCCUCUGACCCGCGACCCGCUUUGCCUGACCCGCCUAUACUAUGACCCGCGUCUUUUAUAAGAGAUCUAUUCCUGGCUGUCCGAUUGAAGGUUUUAAUCUAAGCCGUCCCUUUCUUAUUUGCCCUAGAUAUAUAAAGCUAGAGGACAGUCGGGUAGUUCCGCUCAUUUAUUUCCGUUCUACCCACUGAGCAAGCUAGCUAGUCAGUGAGCCGUCGGAGUCUAGGCCCGAGCACGAUAUCCUCCAUAACAAGGGACGAAGAAGACUCUCGGAUGGCACUUGCUUUCCCAAUUGUAACGGGAUCUUAUUCUUUUGAAAAGUUACCACCUCUUCUUCACUUCACAUAAAACCAUUCGUUCAGAGUCGCGGGAGAGGUUGGUGGCCUGCACAAUCUGGUCUUGUUCUUCGUUGAGGGGAUGUUUGCAAAAAUGACUCCCUUCCAUUUCUACUAUUUCGAAUGGAUUAAAUCGAUGAAUUACAAUAAGAAAAGAAGUGCUAAGUUUCAGAUCAGUGAAUAACCCGAAACGAAAGAAGAGACAUUUCUCGCUCGGCGCUCAAUUCAUAUUUAGCCGCGAGCAAUCUACGUUUGUGAUCUCGUAUAUUUCGCUUCUCCGACAUCGAAUUCGAUCUCGACCAGCCGCCUCCAUAUAUUUUUCAAUAUACUCACUCUCUCUCUAUAUCUCUCUACCUUAUCUCUAGUCUUUCUGCCUUCUCUCGCGCAAUAUCUUUCGGCGAUUUUUUCCGGCGGUUCCUUGGCGGCGUUGCCUUUUCUUCCAUUUAUGUGGAGUUUCUUGGCAUGGUUUGAUUCUCCUGUUUGUUGAUUAGAGCCGCAAGGGGCUCUUUCAACCCGGUAGACGUCUGUUUUGUCGUGUGGUGCUUUGUCUUUGUGAUAUGGGGUUCUUUUUCGUCGAGCCGUCGGUUCCUAGGGUUGGUUUUGUGUGUUCGUCGCAUUUUGGGUGUGUAUUGUGUUGAUUUUCUGCCGAACAAGUGGUUUUGGGGACUGAGCCUAAAAUCAAAACUAGUUCAAAGUUUUUACCCUAUUUUCGUUAAUAAAAUCAAAUUUCGGUCCUUUAUAUUUCAUUACAAUAUGUUUAGCAUAGAGUAGUUUUUUCUAUGGAACAAAUCAACAUACUCCUUCCGUCCCAUUAAAAGGUUUCCAUUUUCCAUUUUCGUCUGUCUCAAAACAAGGUUACCAUUUCCUAAUUUAGUAAUUAUACUACCUACCUAACAUAAUAAAUACCCUUUCAACUUACAAUUUAUUACACAAAUGCCAUUACUUUUAUAUUACACCAUACUAAUAGGGGUAUUUUUGUCUUUUUUAUUACAAUCCAAUAUAAUACUAAUAUUCACAAAUUUACGUGCAAAAAGCAAACGCCACCCUUCCAACGAGACGGAGGAAAUAUAUUUUCUUCAAAAGAUUAAUAUAUUAUAAUAUUUAUUAUUUUUAUAUCCUUUCAAACUAUUUCACAAAACAAACACACUCAUUUUUUAUCUUUUUAAAAUAAUUUAUACUUUCUCUGUCUAUUUAAGAUCUUUUUAUUUUUCUAUUUUAGUCUAUCCACUCAAUUUUUUUUAAAGUAAAUUUACAUCUCAUAUAAAUACAAAAUUACUCUUAUUUUAUAAUAAUAUCAUUAUUUUUAAACUAAAAAAUAAGAGUAAAAUUAUCUUUACAUAUCUCAUUUAUACUACACUUUUAUAAAAUAUUAAAAUACUAAAAUCUUAGUACAAAAAAUAAAUGAGAAGACAAUGAAUAGAAUGAGGAAAUACAAAAUGUUUCCUUUCUUUUAUACUAGGUGUGUUUACACAUAGUAUAAAAUUAAGGUUUUUUUUUUAUUUAUUUUUAAUAGUAAAAUUUUGAAUUAAAAUAGUUGUUUGAUUUGAUGUAAAUAUACAUCAUGUGAUAUCUUGAAUUUAAAAUUAAAUUUUAUUGUAAUAAAAUAAAUAAAAAAAUAGAUAUUUAAUUUAGUAUUUUUGAAAAAAAAAUUGAUAUCAUAAAACAAGAGAUAAAAUCCCACGAGUAAACAAACCCUAUAUUUAUUUGUUUGUCCCAGUUCCCUACCAAACAUAACCUUAGUUGUUGACUGUUGACCCGAAUAUCCUUUUUACUCUCAUUGAUUUUGUGUUCGAUUAUACAAAUAAACAAUAAAUACAUACAAUGAUACAACGCAACGUCAAAUCUCAAUAAUUUUGCAACAUUAGCAAAAUCGACAAAACUAAGGAGGGAAAAUAACUGUUUUUGGAUUCGUGGCCGUUGGACCCAAUAAUGGUGUCGGAAAUUUUGACUUAUUUACUUAAAAAAAAAAAAGAA